rnacentral:rRNA from 1 species
GUGCCAGCAGCCGCGGUAAUACGUAGGGUGCGAGCGUUAAUCGGAAUUACUGGGCGUAAAGCGUGCGCAGGCGGUUUCGUAAGUCAGAUGUGAAAGCCCCGGGCUCAACCUGGGAACUGCGUUUGAAACUACAAGGCUAGAGUGUAGCAGAGGGGGGUAGAAUUCCACGUGUAGCAGUGAAAUGCGUAGAGAUGUGGAGGAACACCGAUAGCGAAGGCAGCUUGCUGGGCCGUUACUGACGCUGAUGCACGAAAGCGUGGGGAUCGAACAGGAUUAGAUACCCUGGUAGUCCACGCCGUAAACGAUGAUCACUAGCUGUUGGCGAUACACAGUCAGCGGCAAAGCAAAAGCAUUAAGUGAUCCACCUGGGGAGUACGGCCGCAAGGCUGAAACUCAAAGGAAUUGACGGGGGCCCGCACAAGCGGAGGAACAUGUGGUUUAAUUCGAUGAUACGCGAGGAACCUUACCUGGGCUUAAAUGUAGAGUGCAUGGGGUAGAAAUAUCCCUUUCCUUCGGGACUCUUUGCAAGGUGCUGCAUGGUUGUCGUCAGCUCGUGCCGUGAGGUGUCGGGUUAAGUCCCAUAACGAGCGCAACCCUUAUCGUUAGUUGCCAGCGGGUAAAGCCGGGAACUCUAGCGAAACUGCCGGUGUAAACCGAGAGGAAGGUGGGGAUGACGUCAAAUCAGCACGGCCCUUAUGUCCAGGGCUACACACGUGUUACAAUGGCCGGUACAGAGGGCAGCUACCUGGAGACAGGAUGCGAAUCUCGAAAGCCGGGUCUCAGUUCGGAUCGGAGUCUGCAACCCGACUCCGUGAAGCUGGAUUCGCUAGUAAUCGCGCAUCAGCCAUGGCGCGGUGAAUACGUUCCCGGGCCUUGUACACACCGCCCGUCAAGCCAUGGAAGUUGGGGGUACCUGAAAGUCCGUAACCGCAAGGAGCGGCCUAGGGUAAAACCAGUGACUGGGGCUAAGUCGUAACAAGGUAACC